UGAAGUAAGUAAGGGCGUACGGUGAAUGCCUUGGUGCCAACAGGCGAAGAAGGACGCGGCAAGCUGCGAAAAGCCUCGGGAAGCUGCAAGCAAGCGAUGAUCCGGGGAUAUCCGAAUGGGGUAACCUGAUCGAGGCAAUACUCGAUCGUUCAUACCUGAAUACAUAGGGUAUGAAACGCGAAACCCGCUGAAGUGAAACAUCUCAGUAAGCGGAGGAAAAGAAAGAGAAAUCGAUUCCGUAAGUAGUGGCGAGCGAAAGCGGAUGGAGCCCAAACCGAAGGUAUUCCUUCGGGGUUGUAGGACCACGUCAUAUUCGACCAUACUGGAUAGUAGAACAGCCUGGAAAGGCUGGCCGGAGAAGGUGAAAGCCCUGUAGACGAAAUCCAGAGUGGGAAUUAGUGGUAUCCUGAGUAAUACAUCACACGUGGAACGAUGUAUGAACCCGCGCGGACCACCGCGCAAGGCUAAAUACUAGUUGGCGACCGAUAGUGAACAAGUACCGCGAGGGAAAGGUGAAAAGAACCGCUGUGAGCGGAGUGAAAUAGAACCUGAAACCGUAUGUCUACAAAGUGUCAGAGCAGAGCAAUCUGCGAUGGCGUGCCUUUUGUUUAAUGAGUCUGCGAGUCAGUGUUUGUGGCAAGACUAAGGGCUUCCGGCCCGGAGUCGCAGCGAAAGCAAGUCCGAACAGGGCGCAAUAAGUCGCAGGUACUGGACCCGAAGCGGAGGUGACCUACCCUUGGCCAGGUUGAAGCAUGGGUAAAACCAUGUGGAGGACCGAACAGGUGAACGUUGAAAAGUUCUCUGAUGAGCUGAGGGUAGGAGUGAAAGGCUAAUCAAACCCCGUGAUAGCUGGUUCUCUUCGAAAUGCAUUUAGGUGCAGCGUCACGUGCUGAUGCGCGGGGGUAGAGCACUGACAAGGCUAGGGGGCACACCCGCUUACCAAACCUUAUCAAACUCCGAAUACCGUGCAAUGGAACGUGGCAGUGAGACAGUGGGGGAUAAGCUUCAUUGUCGAGAGGGAAACAACCCAGACCAGCAGCUAAGGUGCCUAAAUAACGCUCAGUGGAAAGGAUGUGGGAUUACACAGACAGUGAGGAUGUUGGCUUAGAAGCAGCCACCAUUUAAAAAAUGCGUAAUAGCUUACUCAUCGAGUGAUCCUGCGCCGAAAAUGAUUGGCGAUCAAGCGUUAUACCGAAGCUCUGGACUUUGCCGCAAGGCAGAGUGGUAGAAGAGCGUUGCAUGCGCGUCGAAGGGCGAUGGCGACUGACCCUGGAGCACAUGCAAGUGAGUAUGCAGACAUGAGUAACGUUAAGCCGGGUGAAAUCCCUGGCCGCCGUAAACCCGAGGUUUCCAGGGCAACGUGUUUCGUCCCUGGGUUAGCCGGGACCUAAGCCGAGGCCGAGAGGCGUAGGCGAUGGACAUCAGGUUAAUAAUCCUGAGCUCGCAACCCUUAAACUGGGGGGACGCAUGAGAAAAGAUGACUAGGUUAUUGAAUUCCGAGUUGAGUCCACGGACUCAGCGCAUCAUUGGAUCGAGUGCCAAGAAAAGCCCCAGCGUAUGCUAAGCGACCCGUACCGCAAACCGACACAGGUGGGUGGGUAGAAUAUACCAAGGCGUAAGAGUGAAACCUGGUUAAGGAACUCGGCAAAUUAACCCCGUAACUUCGGAAUAAGGGGUACUGAUGUAACAGUCAGUCGCAGAGAAAAGGCCCAAGCAACUGUUUAACAAAAACAUAGGUUUCUGCUAAAUCGAAAGAUGAAGUAUAGGAGCUGACGCCUGCCCAGUGCUGGAAGGUUAAGGGAAGAGGUUAGAUUAUAUCAAAGCUUCGAACUGAAGCCCCAGUGAACGGCGGCCGUAACUAUAACGGUCCUAAGGUAGCGAAAUUCCUUGUCAGGUAAGUUCUGACCCGCACGAAAGGCGUAAUGA
rnacentral:rRNA from 1 species